AGAGAACAGCUGCAAAGAGGACUGCCUUCUCCUCCUGUUUUCAGAGCAUUUGAAAGUCACUGGCUCCUUAAUCCUGGGAGAAGCAGGCUCAAACACUGUCUUUGCACCCUCCAAGCCAAGAGCCAAUAAACACGCCUGGAUUCCGGGCAGCCGUCACGCAGAGCCACGUGGCCGCCCAGCCACCCCGGGUCUUUGGCCCUGACUGUGCUUUUUACCUUGUGCCUUGGGAGCAGAAAUGAAGGUCAAAGGGGAUGCUGGAGACGGGAUGACCGGAGCAGCCAAGUGUGAUGGGAGCUGUGGCCACCAGGGCUCCGGAGUCACAAGGAUGUGGCCGGGCCCUCCAGCCAGGUGCCUGGGCAGGGACUGCGUGCUUCUGGGGCUGGCCCUGCCUGCCCGUGGGAGAGGCCCAAGGGUCAGCCCGGGCAGCUGGCCGGCUCUCCACCCUCGUGCAGGGGACAGACCCUACAGCACCCCCUUCCAGACUGCCGGCUUCUGCUCGGGUAGGUCCUGUGCAGUGGGCUGCUCUUCAUUCUGUGAGCAGAGGAAACACGGCUGGUUUUUAA